UUUCGGCCGCCACUGUUUGAAUCGGUGGGAGAGAAGCUGGGCAGAGUCGGGGGUGUGUACAUCAAAGACGAUGGCCUGUGAUGUCGCCGCCGACGAGCCACCCGCCAUCCACACCGUAUUGGAGCUUCGCGCGCUCGACAAGGCCCCGCCGUCUGCCACGUCCAGGAGCCCCGCGUGCCCGACAAGUCCCCCACCGUCUGCACCGUCCGGGAGCUCCGCGCGGGCGACGCGCCGUCCGCCAUGGGCAGGGCCCCCGAUCUCUGCGCCGGUGACACAGAGCACGCGACACACGAUCGAGUCACGUUGGAGUAGGGGGUUGGGCAGCAGGGGGAUGAGGAUUUUGAUUCAUUGAGCCAGGAUUUUCUAUUUGAUUGAAGUCUGUAUCUGCUAGAGAAAUUGUACAGCAAGUCUGAAUUUGUUAGAUUCAGAGUACCAUAGCAUUUCUGAACUUUUUUAUAGUGUGCUUAUGUGGCAAGGGGGGUGAUUUUAGGUGUUUAUCCCUAGGAGGGGCUUUUUAUGGUGAUCAAUGUGUUUGAACAGACUAGCCGUUCAGCCAUCUCAAUGCCAUUGCAGCACAAACACCAGCACCUAAGCUACUUGUAUGUGCAGAUGUCCCAGUUGUCCUUGU